AUGAUUUAUUGUUGUCCUAAUUUGUGGGGGACAAUUUCUAACCUAUUUUUUCGCACACAUUCACAUACUCCAACCCUUAUUUCUUUCAUUCCACAAAAACCUCAUAUUCUCUUAUACAAAAUCAUGUACCCCCACUUUUCUUCUUUUUGCACUGUAAAUUCAAAUUCACUUUUCACGUGCAAUUUCCCAUGA